CAGCUAGUUGGUGAGGUAACGGCUCACCAAGGCGACGACGGGUAGCUGGUCUGAGAGGAUGGUCAGCCGGACUGGGACUGAGACACGGCCCAGACUCCUACGGGGGGCAGCAAUUAGGAAUCUUGCGCAAUGGGCGAAAGCCUGACGCAGCGACGUCGCGUGAACGAUGAAGUCUUUCGGGAUGUAAAGUUCCUUUCUGAGGGAAGAAGGAUGUGACGGUACCUCAGGAAUAAGCCCCGGNUAACUACGUGCCAGCAGCCGCGGGAAUACGUAGGGGGCGAGCGUUGUCCGAAUUUACUGGGCGUAAAGCCGCGCGUAGCCGGACUCCUAAAUGUGGUGGUGAAACCCCGAGGCUCAACCGCGGGACUGCCUUCAAACCUGGGAGUCUAGAGCUUUGGAGAGGGAAGUGGAAUCCCUGGUUAAGCGGUGAAAUGCGUAGAUAUCAGGAGGCACACCGAUGGCGAAGGCAGCUUCCUGGCCAUGUCCUGACGCUGAGCUGCGAAAGCUAGGGUACCGAACGGGAUUAGAUACCCCGGUAGUCCUAGCCGUAGACGAUGGAUAACUAGGUGUUAGAGGUAUCGACCCCUCUAGUGCCGAAGCAAACGCAUUUAAGUAUCCCGCCUGGGGAGUACGGCCGCAAGGUUGAAACUCAAAGGAA
rnacentral:rRNA from 1 species